rnacentral:lncRNA from 12 species
AGGUCACUUAGUUCCUUAACAGUAGGCCCCAGAACAGACUGAAUCCUCACAAAGGAGAAAGUUCAUUUAAAGAAAGUAUUUCUUUUUUGAAGCCGAUGCUCCGACUUUUGUUAAGUGUAGUUCAACUUCACAUCCUGAUUUUCC